rnacentral:lncRNA from 1 species
GUUCCAAGGAGCUUAAGACUUAUUUCAUAAUUACCUUAAAUAUAAUGUGACAUAUGGACAUAUGUCUUUAUGGAUGAGAUGAGCUGCGAGAAUGUAUGGUUUAAAUAUACUAUUUCCAAACCAUCGUACCUAAUGCUAUAUGCCCAAAGCAAACAACAAUGCUUUUUUGAAAAAAUGUUAAACAUCAUCAGCUAGAAGUUUGAAGGCUUAUGUGGGAAGAUGAUGGCACUUUAGCUUGAAAAUAUGAACUAUUAAUAAGAUUUGCAAGGAAUUUUGAUAUUCUAAGCAUUUUGAAAUGUAAAUUCUGAGUAUCUAAGUACUACUGGUCCAUUUGUUGAAUGGGAUUAUGUUGGUGCUGUUGAAUCACGAUGUCUUGUUGAAGUUUGGUGUGGUGUUUAUCUUUAGAGGCAAAAAACCAUCCUUGUGUCUUCAGUUGCCAUGAGGCUCAAUGCAAUACAAUGUUGUCAAUAUGGAGAUUAUACAUGAAAGUGCUGAUUUUGUUUUGGACUGUUGAUCUAAUGAUCUGUUGCAGUGAAGACAAGACUAAAAUUUAGUAUGAUGGUGGGAGGGACCUGAGAUGUGAUUCUACAUUGGUUGGAUGGUAUUAAGUCGAAGAAUUAGCAAAAGUUUUUGUGCUAGGGGUAGCAUGCAUGAUGGUCAAAAGUUGGUAGGUAGUGGUGAUAUGAUCUGGGUUUAUGAGAUGUUAGAUGGUUAUAUAGUUUAGUUUAGGGUGUCCCUAAAUAAAUAAUGUUUGAGGAGAACAAGGGUCAAUGAUUUCAAUUGGUUUCGUCUUCUGCAGUUUCUGUUUAUUAAGAAGUCCUAGUCAACUUCAGAGUAUGCUGCUUGUGCAGUCAUUAACAGG